AAACAGAAGAAACCAAACACCCUUUUUUUUAUACACCCCCUCUCUUCCCUCUCUGCUUUUUCUCUCUCUCGGUUAGUUUCCCGGCUCCCAUGGCCGUCUCUCUUCCCUGUCUUCUCAUUUGCUCUCGGCUUGGCCUCCCAUGGCUCCCGGCCUCCUACUCAUUCGCUGUUCUCAGUAUCUCUCGCUCCCUGCUCGAUUUCACUCGGCCUCCUGCUCGCUCGCCCUUAGUCUCCCUCGCCUCCAGCUUGGUUGCAGCAUGGCCAUGGCUUCUCGGUGGCCCUUGCUCGGCCUCCAUGGCCGUGGCCUCACAGCUCUCGGAUUCUAGAGGGUAUGAUCUUCACAAAGGAAAAGCGAUUUUCAGAUCCUCAACACAACGAGGACUCGUUGAUGAACACAAGAGAUUCGUCGACAAGAACACACAAGGAGCUCGUCGACAGGGACGUGUCUCGUCGACGACAAGAUACCGAGAGGAUUUUAUCGUAGUUCUGAAUUUCGUUGACGAGGAGUAAGCAUUCGUCGACGAAUAUACUUCUUGACCUCGUUAACGAAGUGAAGUGGCUCAUCGACAAAGGCCAACGUAUAAAUAGGCCUAAACUUCAUUUUUGGCUGAAAAUGCAUACACAAAUCUCUCAUUCUCUCUCCUCUUCGGUUCCCUACCCUUCUCUCUAGGUUUUUGGGUCCUUUUUUGCCGGAUCAACGACCCAAAGCUACCAUGACACUCUUGGGGAAGUUCUCUAUAAGUCUGUCAGAGUGGAUCGUCGGUGGAGCUAGCUUAAAUUCCAUCCCAAGUUUAAGGUAAGAUAUUUUAUUUAGUAUUUGACUUUCCUGCAGCUGUAGGAAUUGUAGUAGUUAAGAAAAUGCUAAAGUUUUGCUCUGAGAGAUGUUGAUUUCAGGGUAUUGAACGGGGAACCCUACGGGUGUAGGACUAAUAUAUUUUAGAGGCUUUUCAGUAAUUAGGUAAGGGAAUAAACUAAGUUAGUUAUUUUCAUGAAAAUAUAUGUAUAAUCUUACGGCAUUUAAUUUCAG